AUUACUUUGGCAGAAGUUAAUGUAGUAGGUUUAGGACCUAAAAAUAUAGAGUGUAUCUAUAAGUAAUA
rnacentral:tRNA from 1 species